rnacentral:rRNA from 1 species
AGAGUUUGAUUCUGGCUCAGGAUGAACGCUGGCGGCAUGCCUAAUACAUGCAAGUCGAACGGACUACACCAUGAACUUGAAGAGCUUGCUCGGAUUGGAAUUGGAUUCUGUAGUCAGUGGCGGACGGGUGAGUAACACGUGGGUUACCUGCCACACAGUAUGGAAUAACUAUUGGAAACGAUAGCUAAUACCGUAUAUGACCUUCGGGUUGAAAGGAGCGUUUGCUUCGCUGUGUGAUGGGCCUGCGGCGCAUUAGCUAGUUGGUACGGUAAAGGCGUACCAAGGCGACGAUGCGUAGCCGGAGUGAGAGCUCGAUCGGCCACAUUGGGACUGAGACACGGCCCAAACUUCUACGGGAGGCAGCAGUAGGGAAUUUUCCGCAAUGGACGAAAGUCUGACGGAGCAAUGCCGCGUGAGUGAUGAAGGUUUUCGAAUCGUAAAGCUCUGUUGUAAGGGAAGAAUAGCAAGAAUAGGAAAUGAUUCUUGUCUGACGGUACCUUACCAGAAAGCCACGGCUAACUACGUGCCAGCAGCCGCGGUAAU